UAAUACAGAGAAUUGGGCAUUGGGAUUGUCGCAUACAGCCCCCUUGGGCACGGGUUCUUUGGUGGGAAGGCAGUCACAGAAAGCUUGCCGGCGGAAAGUCUGAUGGGUUCUCAUCCAAGGUUCAGUGGAGAAAAUUUGGAGAAGAACAAAGUUCUUUACACAAGAUUUGCUAACUUAGCAGCAAAGCAUGGUUGUACGCCUCCUCAACUAGCUUUAGCAUGGCUUCUGCAUCAGGGAGAGGACGUGGUUCCGAUACCUGGAACAACAAAGAUUAAGAACCUAGAUGCCAACAUUCAAUCC